GAUGAACGCUGGCGGCGUGCUUAACACAUGCAAGUCGAACGGUGAAGCCAAGCUUGCUUGGUGGAUCAGUGGCGAACGGGUGAGUAACACGUGAGCAACCUGCCCUGGACUCUGGGAUAAGCGCUGGAAACGGCGUCUAAUACUGGAUAUGAGCCUCUUCCGCAUGGUGGGGGUUGGAAAGAUUUUUUGGUCUGGGAUGGGCUCGCGGCCUAUCAGCUUGUUGGUGAGGUAAUGGCUCACCAAGGCGUCGACGGGUAGCCGGCCUGAGAGGGUGACCGGCCACACUGGGACUGAGACACGGCCCAGACUCCUACGGGAGGCAGCAGUGGGGAAUAUUGCACAAUGGGCGAAAGCCUGAUGCAGCAACGCCGCGUGAGGGAUGACGGCCUUCGGGUUGUAAACCUCUUUUAGCAGGGAAGAAGCGAAAGUGACGGUACCUGCAGAAAAAGCGCCGGCUAACUGCGUG
rnacentral:rRNA from 1 species